UGGGGAAUUUUGCGCAAUGGGGGCAACCCUGACGCAGCAACGCCGCGUGCGGGACGACGGCCUUCGGGUUGUAAACCGCUUUCGGCAGGGAAGAAAUUCGACGGUACCUGCAGAAGAAGCUCCGGCUAACUACGUGCCAGCAGCCGCGGUAAUACGUAGGGAGCGAGCGUUAUCCGGAUUCAUUGGGCGUAAAGAGCGCGUAGGCGGCCUCUCAAGCGGGAUCUCUAAUCCGAGGGCUCAACCCCCGGCCGGAUCCCGAACUGGGAGGCUCGAGUUCGGUAGAGGCAGGCGGAAUUCCCGGUGUAGCGGUGGAAUGCGCAGAUAUCGGGAAGAACACCGAUGGCGAAGGCAGCCUGCUGGGCCGCAACUGACGCUGAGGCGCGAAAGCUAGGGGAGCGAACAGG
rnacentral:rRNA from 1 species